rnacentral:rRNA from 1 species
GNARUAGGAGGAUCAUUACCGAGUGAGGGCCCUCUGGGUCCAACCUCCCACCCGUGUUUAUUUUACCUUGUUGCUUCGGCGGGCCCGCCUUAACUGGCCGCCGGGGGGCUUACGCCCCCGGGCCCGCGCCCGCCGAAGACACCCUCGAACUCUGUCUGAAGAUUGUAGUCUGAGUGAAAAUAUAAAUUAUUUAAAACUUUCAACAACGGAUCUCUUGGUUCCGGCAUCGAUGAAGAACGCAGCGAAAUGCGAUACGUAAUGUGAAUUGCAAAUUCAGUGAAUCAUCGAGUCUUUGAACGCACAUUGCGCCCCCUGGUAUUCCGGGGGGCAUGCCUGUCCGAGCGUCAUUGCUGCCCUCAAGCACGGCUUGUGUGUUGGGCCCCGUCCUCCGAUCCCGGGGGACGGGCCCGAAAGGCAGCGGCGGCACCGCGUCCGGUCCUCGAGCGUAUGGGGCUUUGUCACCCGCUCUGUAGGCCCGGCCGGCGCUUGCCGAUCAACCCGAAUUUUUAUCCAGGUUGACCUCGGAUCAGGUAGGGAUACCCGCUGAACUUAAGCAUAUCAAUAGC